CUGUCAAGAUGGACGGAAGUUGUAAGGAUGAUUGGACGGUUGAUUUAUAACUUUUAAAAACUAAUAGUGUCAUAAUAAUUCUUAAGCUUGUUCAUGUAAGAGAUUGGAAUAAGAUAUUUAAUUUUAAAACAACAAGACCUGUAUAGGUUCUAUAACCAACUUGUUCCCCAAGUGUCACGAGUCAUCUGUGUUUCACGGACUAUUGAUAAAUUUGACCCUUUCAUCAUGCUAAAUCCUUAGAAGCUGUUACUUGCUUUCAAAUACAAAAUUUUAUCCUGAGGAGAAUAGAUGAAACUUUGAGGCUAAGUCAGGAGAUGAAGUGUAUCAUUGGAAAACUAUCAUCCUGCAAAGAAUUUUAUGAAGUUUAAAUAGUAUCAUAUAUUAUUUCAAGACUUGCAUUUUUCGUAUAAAAUAUUUUAAUAAA